rnacentral:rRNA from 1 species
AUUGAACGCUGGCGGCAUGCCUUACACAUGCAAGUCGAACGUGAAAGCGGGGCAACCCGCAAGUAGAGUGGCGGACGGGUGAGUAAUACAUCGGAACGUGUCCAGUAAUGGGGGAUAACCUAGCGAAAGUUAGGCUAAUACCGCAUACGAUCUGCGGAUGAAAGCGGGGGAUGCGGCACUAAAGGCUUUUGGCGAAGGUGGCCAAAGGUGAGUCAAGAGCUUUUAGUGCUGCACCUCGCGUUAUUGGAGCGGCUGAC